UCAACGCGGAGUACAUGUUAUAGAAAUGAUUGUAAAGGUAAUCGAUAUUAUUUGUAACGAGAGCUGAGGAAAUAAACUGACCAAUCAUAGU